rnacentral:rRNA from 1 species
CCUACGGGCGGCAGCAGUGGGGAAUAUUGCACAAUGGGCGCAAGCCUGAUGCAGCCAUGCCGCGUGUGUGAAGAAGGCCUUCGGGUUGUAAAGCACUUUCAGCGGGGAGGAAGGCGUUAAGGUUAAUAACCUUGUCGAUUGACGUUACCCGCAGAAGAAGCACCGGCUAACUCCGUGCCAGCAGCCGCGGUAAUACGGAGGGUGCAAGCGUUAAUCGGAAUUACUGGGCGUAAAGCGCACGCAGGCGGCCUGUCAAGUCGGAUGUGAAAUCCCCGGGCUCAACCUGGGAACUGCAUUCGAAACUGGCAGGCUAGAGUCUUGUAGAGGGGGGUAGAAUUCCAGGUGUAGCGGUGAAAUGCGUAGAGAGCUGGAGGAAUACCGGUGGCGAAGGCGGCCCCCUGGACAAAGACUGACGCUCAGGUGCGAAAGCGUGGGGAGCAAACAGGAUUAGAUACCCGAGUAGUC